rnacentral:pre_miRNA from 1 species
GAUUUCAACUGAAAAAUUCAUCAACAUGAAAGUUGUAUGACUCAUCAAUAUCUAUAACUUUUAUUUUAGUCAUUUGUUCAUCCGAUAAAGCGAUAGUAACAUUGUUCACAAAAUUUACAUAUAUCUCUGAUAGUUUACAAACUAUAUAUCAGAGAUAUAUACAUUUUGUGAACAAUGUUACAAAUCACUUUAUCAGAUGAAGAAAUGAAAAAAAUAAAAGUUAUAUAUAUUGAUGAGUUAUACAACUUUGAUGUUCAUGACAUUUUCAAUUGAAAUC